UUGGUGCAUUAAAGAAGUCGUUUUUUCCCCGUAUAAUUUUGGAAAUAUAAUUAUUGGGAAUUACAUAGUAAAACCGGGAAAGUUCCACCGACAACAACGUUUGGUUAUUAUUUUCCUUUUUGUUUUUAUUCGUUUAAAAAUAAUCGUAGAAACCUGCAAUUUCCACCGCAGAAUACUUAUAUUAGCUUUUGAUAGACGCGGUAAAAUGUUCAAAACGUUCCGGUGAUAUUUUAUUUAUUUAUUGAAAUUGUCUAGUUU